GCUGAGGGGGCAACUGGGAGCACUGGGAGCAACUGGGGGGGCAACUGGGAGCGGCUGGGGGGCAACUGGGAGCACUGGGGGGCAACUGGUCCUUACUGGUCCUUACUGGUUGUUAGUAGGUCUUAUUGGUCCUUACUGGUGUUACUGGUGUUACUGGUCCUUACUAAUCCUUACUGGUGCUACUGAUCCUUACUGGUCCUUACUGGUGCUACUGGUCCUUACUGGUCCUUACUGGUGUUGCCGGUGCCCGCUUGCAGCGCCGCCAGCAGCAGCCGCCACAACCCGGUGCAGCUGUGGGACGCCUACGACGGCCGCGUCAGGGGCAGCUUCCGGGCCCACAACCACCUGGUGAG
rnacentral:lncRNA from 1 species